rnacentral:rRNA from 9 species
AAAUUGAAGAGUUUGAUCAUGGCUCAGAUUGAACGCUGGCGGCAGGCCUAACACAUGCAAGUCGAACGGUAACAGGAAGCAGCUUGCUGCUUCGCUGACGAGUGGCGGACGGGUGAGUAAUGUCUGGGAAACUGCCUGAUGGAGGGGGAUAACUACUGGAAACGGUGGCUAAUACCGCAUAACGUCGCAAGACCAAAGAGGGGGACCUUCGGGCCUCUUGCCAUCA